GUCUUUUACAACAAUUGUUGCCUUUCUUUCAGGCAUGGUUGUUGGGGCUAUGUGCGCCAUCACCGGGGUCCUGACCAUCUCCCUACCUGUUCCAGUCAUAGUUUCGAAC
rfam:Opisthorchis viverrini opera_v5_195.27, whole genome shotgun sequence.